UAUUAAUAAAAUCUGCUCAAUGAAUUUUAAAUAGCCGCAGAAUUCUGUGYUAAGGUAGCAUAAUCAUUUGUCUUUUAAUUAAAGUCUAGAAUGAAAGAUCACACAUUUAAUUCAUUUUUUAAAUUUUAAUUAAUCAAAUUCUUMUAAAUGUAAAAAGAUAUUUUCUUAAAAAAAAGACGAUAAGACCCUAUCGAAUUUUACUUAAGUUUUACUGGGGCAGUAAAUUAAAAAUUAUUUUAAUUUUAAAUCUUUAAAACUMUAAUAAAAUUAAUUUAAACAAGUUACCGUAGGGAUAACAGCGUAAUAAUUUUUUAUAGAUCUUAUAUAUWAAAYUGAUUACGACCUCGAUGUUGAAUUAAUAUUC
rnacentral:rRNA from 1 species